UAAGAGGUGGAUCACGGUUCAAGCGAGGCCGGGGAGGCGUUGGGCAGCAGCAACAAGGGGACUGCGCAGACGUCGGGCGCCUGGCAGAGGGAAGCAGCAACGGCGGCGUUCACGGCGUCGAUGAAGCGUCGGCAGCAGCGCGGUGGCGGUGCUGCGGGUCAGCGGCGGAGGUCAGGUGCGGGCGUCGCUGAGGGCGGCCGGACGGCUGGGGGCGUGGCGGACGGAGACUGGCAGGGCGCGAGCGUCUGCGCGAGGAAGACAAACAGUAACCUGUUUUUCUUUUUCUUUUCUCUCACCUCACGUCACUCACCAAUCUUCUCUCUCCUUUUUAUCUGUUCUGCAGCUGACUUUUACCUUUUCUUGUCAGGGAAAGAAAAGGAAAAAGACCUUUUCUUUGACCAAGGUAGACGAGGCCUUCUUCUUACGCCGAUUUUCUUCGAAAUCGCUCUUGAAUUUUUCUCUCAGAUUUCUCCCAUUCG
rnacentral:lncRNA from 1 species